AAAGUCUGGUUUAACUAUUGUUCAAUGCAAACAUUAAUUAAUAGAUAGUUCCUGCUGGCUAAUGGUCUGUGAUAACCACCGGUUUUACUUUAUUACUCGACUGUGGAGAACUAAACCUGAACUGAUCUGUGAUCCAUGUAAAUAUACUGUACACUACACCGGACUCGUGUGUUGCUAUACACUACACAGAACUCGUGUGUUGCUAUACACUACACAAGACUCGUGUGUUGCUAUACACUACACAGGACUCAUGUGUUGCUAUACACUACACUGGACUCGUGUGUUGCUAUACACUACACUGGACUCAUGUGUUGCUAUACACUACACAGGACUCAUGUGUUGCUAUACACUACACCGGACUCAUGUGUUGCUAUACACUACACAGGACUCAUGUGUUGCUAUACACUACACAGGACUCAUGUGUUGCUAUACACUACACAGGACUUGUGUUGCUAUACACUACACAGGUCUCAUGUGUUGCUAUACACUACACAGGUCUCAUGUGUGUUGCUAUACACUACACAGGUCUCAUGUGUUGCUAUACACUACACAGGACUCGUGUUGCUAUACACUACACAGGUCUCAUGUGUUGCUAUACACUACACAGGACUC